UAAUAUUUUGCUCACCGAGCCUACUACCUAAGUCUUGGGAUAUGGUGUCAGGCCAACGGGUACAAAAGGAAACUUUUGUGCCUCCCUAUUGGAAAGGAGGGCUAUUACGUGCUAU
rnacentral:ncRNA from 2 species